rnacentral:rRNA from 1 species
GAGCGGGACUACAAUCUUAGCAAUGUCAGCCAAACUCCGAAUGCCGGUAAUGUUAUAGCGUGGCAGUGAGACUGCGGGGGAUAAGCUCCGUUGGUCGAGAGGGAAACAGCCCAGAUCGCCGGUUAAGGCCCCUAAGCGUGUACUAAGUGGAAAAGGAUGUGGGAUCGCGAAGACAGCCAGGAGGUUGGCUUAGAAGCAGCCAUCCUUGAAAGAGUGCGUAAUAGCUCACUGGUCGAGUGGUUCUGCGCCGACAAUGUAGUGGGGCUCAAGUACACCGCCGAAGCCGCGGCAGUCAACAUUUUUGUUGGUUGGGUAGGGGAGCGUCGUGCAUGUGGUGAAGCAUUUGGGUGACCGGGUGUGGAGUGUGUGCGAGUGAGAAUGCAGGCAUGAGUAACGAAUGAAAAGUGGAAAACUUUUCCGCCGGAUGACUAAGGGUUCCUGGGUUAAGCUAAUCUUCCCAGGGUGAGUCGGGACCUAAGGCGAGGCCGACAGGCGUAGUCGAUGGAUAACCAGUUGAUAUUCUGGUACCCGUGGUGAUGCGACAAGUGGUGAAUCAGUGGUACUAACCGCCCAUUAAUUGCAUGUGUUCAUACAUUGUGUGGGUGUGUGUGGUUGUGCGUGGGACCUUCGUUGGUAGUAGCCAAGUGAUGGGGUGACGCAGUGAGGUAGCCGAGCCACUUAUUGGAUUGUGGUGUAAGCGUGUGGCCCGUGGCAUAGGUAAAUCCGUGCUGCAUUAUGGGUGAGGCGUGAUGCGUAGACCUUUUUGGUUGAUGUUGGUGAUCCUGUACUGUCGAGAAAAGCCUCUAGCGAGUGUCAUUAUGGCCCGUACCCUCAACCGACACAGGUAGUCAGGUAGAGAAUACUAAGGCGAUCGGGUGAACUGUGGUUAAGGAACUCGGCAAAAUGCCCCCGUAACUUCGGGAGAAGGGGGACCAUUGUUGGUGACAGACUGAUGGAGCUGACGGUGGUCGCAGAGAAUAGAGGGAAGCGACUGUUUAUUAAAAACACAGGUCCGUGCGAAAACGUGGAAGUUGAUGUAUACGGACUGACGCCUGCCCGGUGCUGGAAGGUUAAGAGGACCUGUUAGAUCUCUUUUGGGGGUCGAAGCGGAGAAUUUAAGCCCCAGUAAACGGCGGUGGUAACUAUAACCAUCCUAAGGUAGCGAAAUUCCUUGUCGGGUAAGUUCCGACCUGCACGAAUGGCGUAACGACUUCCCUGCUGUCUCAACCACAGGCCCGGUGAAAUUGCAGUACGAGUAAAGAUGCUCGUUACGCGCGGCAGGACGAAAAGACCCCGGGACCUUCACUAUAGCUUGGUAUUGGUGUUUGGUUCGGUUUGUGUAGGAUAGGUGGGAGACUGUGAUACUGCGCCGCUAGGUGUGGUGGAGUCGCAAGUUGAAAUACCACUCUGAUCGGAUUGAGCACCUUAACCUUGGCCCAUGAUCUGGGUUGGGGACAGUGCCUGGUGGGUAGUUUAACUGGGGCGGUUGCCUCCUAAAAUGUAACGGAGGCGCCCAAAGGUUCCCUCAGCCUGGUUGGCAAUCAGGUGGUGAGUGUAAGUGCACAAGGGAGCUUGACUGUGAGACUGACAGGUCGAGCAGGGACGAAAGUCGGGACUAGUGAUCCGGCACCUACUUGUGGAAGUGGUGUCGCUCAACGGAUAAAAGGUACCCCGGGGAUAACAGGCUGAUCUUCCCCAAGAGUCCAUAUCGACGGGAUGGUUUGGCACCUCGAUGUCGGCUCGUCGCAUCCUGGGGCUGGAGUAGGUCCCAAGGGUUGGGCUGUUCGCCCAUUAAAGCGGCACGCGAGCUGGGUUUAGAACGUCGUGAGACAGUUCGGUCUCUAUCCGCCGUGCGCGUUGAAACUUGAAGAAGGCUGUCCCUAGUACGAGAGGACCGGGACGGACGUACCUCUAGUGUGCCAGUUGUCACGCCCGUGGCAGGGCUGGUUGGCUACGUACGGAAGGGAUAACCGCUGAAAGCAUCUAAGCGGGAAGCCUGUUUUAAGAUGAGGUUUCUUUUGAGGUUCCCUCGAGAUUAGGGGGUUGAUAGGCCAGAUCUGGAAGAGUGGUAACACUUGGAGGUGACUGGUACUAAUUUACCGAUAAACAACCAC